rnacentral:rRNA from 1 species
UAAGGAAUAUUGGACAAUGGAGGCAACUCUGAUCCAGCCAUGCCGCGUGAAGGAACAAGGCCCUAUGGGUUGUAAACUUCUUUUAGACGGGACAAAACCCCUUUACGUGUAAAGGGUUGAUGGUACUGUCAGAAUAAGCAUCGGCUAACUUCGUGCCAGCAGCCGCGGUAAUACGAAGGAUGCAAGCGUUAUCCGGAAUUAUUGGGUUUAAAGGGUGCGUAGGCGGACUAAUAAGUCAGUGGUGAAAGCCUGCAGCUUAACUGCAGAAUUGCCAUUGAUACUGUUAGUCUUGAGUACAGUUGAGGUAGGCGGAAUGUGUCAUGUAGCGGUGAAAUGCUUAGAUAUGACACAGAACACCGAUUGCGAAGGCAGCUUGCUAAGCUGUAACUGACGCUGAGGCACGAAAGCGUGGGGAGCAAACA